GUCAGCUGUAUGUAAGUUUUCUCAAACCAGGAUUUUGUAUUUUGAGGCUAAUUGGGAGAUGAGCCGAAGAAAGCCAGUGAUGAUAUGUUGUCAAGACAGCUCUGAAAAACAAGCUUUCGGAAGGUCACAGGCUUGAGUUUGUAACCUUGCUG